UUGUAACGUUCUGAUUAGUGAGGAAGUCUUCCAGUGUUUCAUAAGUAAAAACGUCCAAUAAACAGACGAAGAUCAUAAAAGGAAUACUGAGGAUGCAUUUAAGAUACUGGAGACCUGAUCAACUGUCACGUUCAUGCUGACUUCAGUGGAUGUGAAACUGAAUUCAGUGUGAAUAAGGACACUUCUUUGCUCUACAGAUAUUCAUCUGAAGCUGUGAGAAGGCUGAUACUGUCCUGCAGUCGUCACAGAACUGGCACAGAACGCUCCCUUUGCAUCAUCACUAAACAGUGGGAGGAAUUUGGAAAACACGUAGAACCGAUUGACAGCAGUGGAUCUGAGUGCUCAGUCACGUGAACAAAACUGCGUGCCAGUUGUGUCCGAGGGGCAGUUAAGAACAAGAAGAGCAAAGAAGAGUUCACAAGAAUGAAUAAUGUAUGUGUAAAUGGAAGAACUUCUUUGGAAAUAUGUUUGUACUCAUACUCUUCUUCCUCCUACAGAUGUUUUCUAUUUUAAUGUCUGUUGAAGGGUCACAGCUCAAAUGCAGUGCAUUCACAUGUUUACAUCUCCAUAGGACUGUACAAGUGUUGAUACUCUCAGACACCAACCUGAGAUACCUUUAAAGGCACAUACAUGCAUAUACUGUGAGGUAGACUGAAAAAGUAUCAGAGCAAAAAGUGAUGAAGUCCCAUUCUCCUUUUGUCGUUUGUCUGUUGUUGCACUAAUGUGGGUCUGUCCUCUUCCUCAAGGAUGAAACAGGUACCACCAGAAUUCUGGAGAAAUUGUUGUUACAGUAAGAAGAAAGGAUAAUUUCCAUACGAGACAAUGCAGGCUGAAAUACAUGAAGAGUAUCAAUGAUGAAAGCAAAUAUCUUGGCUACGAUGAUGCACAAAGUCAACAACAGUUUCCACAAGAGCUGGAGAUGUCCAAACAGAACCUGAGAUAGCGCUGAUCAGCCAGAUCAGGUGAAGGUCAGGCCUUUGUGAAGGAGUCGGUGGAAGUUUGUUUCACAGCCUCCCUAGCAGUCAGCACCUGCUGGCUAUUCCAUACAGCACCAGGGCACGCAGCUGCUGUGUAACUGGGCUACGCCAGAG
ensembl:lncRNA